CCCCCCGGCCCCUCUACUCCUUGGUGUUGUUUGUAAACAUUCCCGCCCGCCUCUCCCGCUGCCCCCCGACCCCCGCGGGAGGGCGGGCGCUGGGCUGCCGAGAGGGAAGGGAAGGCGCUGAUUGACCACUGGAGCUGGCAAUCACGUGAGGGAGCGGCCAUGGCGCCCUUCCUCGCGUUACGGGCUGGUUCCACCGUCCCCGAAGGGGGGAGCCGCCGUGGGCUGACCCACUCGCAGUGGCGGCGGGGGGGGGGGGAGGGGGAAGCUGGGCUACAGCGUGGCGAGGGGGAUGCGGCAGCGGGAUGGGAAGCGGGGUAUCCCCGCGGGGGGAUGCGGCGGGGCAGGGAGCAGCGAGGCGCAGCCGAGGGUGGGAGGGAUUCCUGCAAGGCCCCGGCCGCCCGCCCGCUGAGCCCCCGCCUCCCCGCGCGGGCGGCGCGUGCGGACUCGCAGCGGCGGCGCGGCCGGGCUGGAGAGCUUGCGGCACAUCGGUGGUAUCAAGGCUAUUUUCAGCAGAAGUUUCAAUCUCUAGUUGAAAACAUACAGCUUUACCAAGUGUUCAGUGCAGUCUGAUCCUUUGGGAUGAGAUACUGCUGAAGAUUGCUGGAACACUCAUAAGUACUAUAGGUUUGAGUCCUUAAGCUGUAAGCUCUGUGGUAAGGUUUUAUGCAUAUUUACCUCUACCAUAUCUGGGAACAAAACUCUAAAAGAAAAUAAUAAUAGUAAGAACUUAAAUUUUUGUUUUGUGUUGCUUCUAUACAAAAUACAGGCUCAAUUUUUGAAUUAGAGUACACCAAGAUACCAAUGACUGUAGUUUAUUUAUAUCUUUAAAAUAUAAAAUGAGGUGAUAGGUGUGUAAAACAUUUUCAGCCCUUACCUUCUUAUUCUUGGUAAUGAAAAUCAAAAUUAUGACAUUAUCAUCCCUUUCAAGCCAGCUAACUGAUGCUGCAGCAUUAUGAGUCAUCUCUUUUAACACCAAACUGCCUUUUAAAAAAAUGUUUUAAUGGUGAUAAAAGGUUUGAGGGUGAUAUGUGUACAGAUCUUACUCUACCCAUGGAACAUAGAGAAAAGUGGUAAAAGUUCAGGAUUAACUCUAUGAGCUAGAAAGGUAAUUGCAUUUUUUCAACAUCUUGAGUUCUUUGCUGAUAACUGCUUAUGAACACAGCAGUUUGAGAUGUUCACUAUGCCCGCUGUAACUGCAUGGAACACUGUGUAUGAUUGUGUAAGGCACUGAAUAGCUGCAGAGUGAGACAGUGUAGUCAACUGAUACCUGAUCUAA
rnacentral:lncRNA from 1 species